rnacentral:lncRNA from 1 species
CUGAAAUCUCUUCAGAGCCAUAAAGAUGAAAUGAGUGUCUUGUUAUUCAUAACAAGCCCUUUACCAUCACAGCGGGGUUUAUGUUAAUGAGGAGACUUCUGGAAAGCACCUAAAGGAGGGGGGGGCUGGUUGCCAGGGGAACCAAGGAUAAAUAGAAGGUUGGAACUUUCAGUCCUACCCCUUGAUUUCUGGGGAGGGGAGAUCUGGACAUUGAAUCAGUCACCAAUGGCCAAUGAUUUAAUCAAUCAUGCCUAUAUAAUGAAGCCUCCAUCAAACACAAAAGGACAAGAUUUGGAUUCCUUCCAGGCUUAAAAUCUUUGUGGUCACAAAAUACACACAUGACUUUAUUAUAGUGAGCCUCUUCUGGGAAUAAAACGUAUGCACAGGGCCCAUCUGCUGUACCAGAUGCCUACUGGUUGAUCGGACAACAAACGUGUGGGAGGCAAAAGGCAUCUCUUUCCAAGAAGGCCACCAGGAAACAGGCCAAUGCAACUGUGCCAGGACAACUCCUAACCUCUGUCCAUAGCCUCACAAUCACCUUGAGCUCCCUAAUUUAACCAGAAAGCUUCUGUAAGUGUGGACAGAUGAUUCGACUGCAUUUUACAGUUUGAAAUAAACAGCCCUUGAACAUUUUUGAUAAAAGUUAAUUUGCAUCCUGUCCUUUAAGCAAACAGUGUGUUUGCUAUGCCUUCCUUUAAACAUACUAAGACAUCAAUAGUUUCUGUAAAUACUUCAGUGGGCAACAUUUCUAAAUUAACCCUUUAUUUUCAAGUGCUUGAUGUGAGUGAUGUAUACAUUCUCCUAAAUGUAAGCAUAUUUCCUUUAGCUAUAAUUAUAAAAAGCUAUGGAUUGGGGAAUAAAAAUCUAAUGAUUUAACUUUCUAUUUCAGAUUGUCAAUCUCUCACCUGUAAGUAACAGGGUUGUGGACAAAAAUGCAGACAAUUAUAUUAAAUUUAGCUUUAUUUUCUCCAGAUUAUUAUAAACCAGUAUCAUUAUUGCAAAAUAUUUUGCUUUAAUAAACGAAUGUCUGUUCUCUAAUCCCAGAAAGUCUUAUUUAUAUGCCAAUUUUCCUCCUUUUAACUUACUUUGACUUUCUUCGCCCUUUCCCUUCUCUAUUUCAUGUCCUUUCCUGGCCCUUCCUCUUCCUUCUCCUCCUCCUCUAUGGCCUCCUCUUCCUCCUUCUUCUCUCUCUCUGUCUCAGGCAUCCACACAUACACACACACAUACACAAUCACACAUUCGCAAGCACACAAAGUCAUUAUACCUUGAGUAAAUACAGUAUAUGAGGGUACUAGGUUUAUAAGGUAAUAAAAUGAGUAAAAGGAAAUCUUGAACAUCCUAACAACCCAGUCCAUAGGGACUAGCAGUAUGAGUGAUACUAAGGACAUAGUAUCUGCCAUGUAUCAUAUUAGCUCGCUCGGUUUAUCCUACGUCUACUACACAGCUCCUGGUGUUUUUGUGGGUUGGAAGAGGGGAUGGGUAGGCAUUUUGUUUUAUAGAUAAAAACAAGAACACUGAAACUCAAAGAGGUUCAAAAGUAGACCCAAGCUCACACAGCUAUAAGUGGCCCAGGUUGACAUGGAAUCCAAAAUCUGUCAGAUUUGAAAGCCCGCACUCAUUCGCCUGACUUGACUGCUUUUGUCUCUCUGAAACAGUGGGUUUUCUUACAAGGCGAGUGGAGAAGCAGCUGGCUUUGCCUAAACCUGGCAUUGUUUAAGUGUACUUCUCACUGUGGACCCUGCCCAACCCUACCUAAUACGCAACAGGAUAUUAAAAUAGACUUACAAAAGCUGACGAGACGCAUUUUAUAAGAAAAUAAAAUAUUAGAAAAGCUUUUCUAUGUGUUAUUACAAACCAAGUUUAAACAAGAGCCCACUUCAGAUUAAAACCUUGAUUUCUCAUAAAAGGAAAUGUCAAGUCCUUGAAACUAAUAGUAAUAUAUUUAAUGUUUAGUCAAAUAUAAAUACUUCUAGUUCAUAGGGUAUUAUAUUGUAAUUUUAUUAGCAUAACAACUUUGAUCAGCUAGGUAUUAAAUGACUUUGCUGUUAAAAAUAUGUGAAUGAAGGGUAAAUACCUUAAUGAUGAAGCUUUAUUUCUUUUUUUUUUUUUGAGGAAGAUUAGCCCUCAGCUAACUACUGCCAGUCCUCCUCUUUCUGCUGAGGAAGCCUGGCCCUGAGCUAACAUCCGUGCCCAUCUUCCUCUAGUUUAUAUGUGGGAUGCCUACCACAGCAUGGCCAAGCAGCGCCAUGUUCACAGCCGGGAUCCGAACCAGCGUACCCCAGGCUGCCGAGAAGCGGAACGUGCGACCUUAACAGCUACGCCACCGGGGCAGCCCUGAAGCUUUAUUUCUGAAUGCGACAGAGGGAAGAAGAAAAAUUUCUGGAGUGGACAGAUGUAGGUUUGGACCUCAGAUCUGACACUAAUCAACUCCUUGAUCUCUGAGAAUAAACAAAACUUGUCUGAGGAAGUCGACUUAUCUUUAAAUACAGGGAGAAUUGUCGCAGUCUUAAUGGGUUUUGACGUAAACUAAGAUGAUAUUUGAACGUAUUUACCACUCUGCCAGCCACAGGCUUCUCGAGAGAGAGAUGUGUUUUUGUAUUCCCACACGGAAGAUGGAAAGUCAUUAAAAGAAAAUUGUCCUUACUUAUGCAUUCCUAUGCUCUCAAAUAUGUGAAUUCAGAAUAAGGCUCUGUUUCUAUCUUCGUUCUUUGCCCUUAACAGACACAUAUAAAACUGAGGGGAAAAUAGACAUAUUUUAGUUAUUUAUUAAAAGAAGUAUCCUUUAUUUAAUUCCCUGUGGAUUUUUACACCCUAGGGAAGUAUAUCUGGUACUACUUGGGGUAGGUAAGUGUAAUAAAAAUUUAACUCUUUUUGAUGUUUGACUGCUAACAGAUUUCAAGCCCCACCACUCACCCUUUCCCUCCAUGCAACAUUGGGACAAGUUGAUUCAAAGUCUGGGUAUUCCCUCUUUUGGUGUCAGUGGGAAGUUCAAAUCACAGAAGUCCUGGGUCCCAUGCAUGUGAAUCUCUAACCACAACACAAGCCAAGCUAGUCUCCUUUUCCUAGUCUCUCUAGUCAUUUUUGGAGCUGUUUGGGAGCCUGCCCCUCUCUCUGAGGAAAGCCUCAGGAUGUGAAUAAUUAACCUUUCUGUAUCCUCUUUGUGAGUGUGCAUUUAAACAUCUUUUGAGCUCCUCAUGUGCAAAGCACUUUGUUAUCAGCGUUAGUAACAUUUUACAAAAGACGUAGCAGUGGGAAGACUAUAUGGGACAGAUGUAGAUUAAUUUGACAGGUUGGGAGAAAUGGUAUUUUGGCAUCAAGAUACUUAAAUAUAUCCUUGAUGCUUGGGGGAGGUAAUUCACAACAUUGUACCUACAGCCGUUAAGAUUCCUGACAUAGUUAAGUCAUAUUGUUGCUAUUUCAAAAGCAGAAGAGUUUCAUCAGUGCAUUAUUCUCUAUUUGAACGAAAUACAAUAUCUAAAACUAUAUCUUGGAUUUCUACCAAUCACAAAGCGAAUAGUUCAAAUGGCUUACGUUAAGUAACUUCAAAACAACCAGGACUUCUCUCUGAAGAUUUCUUUCUUUGAUUCUUCAGACUACUACAGGUUAACUAUUUAUAAGAAAUGUGCAAAAAAUAAAAAAUGAUCUGAAGAACUUCAAUAGUGAUAAGUUUUGCCUCUUUUUUAAUAUCCUUAAUCAAAGUGAUU